rnacentral:rRNA from 1 species
AGAGUUUGAUCAUGGCUCAGAUUGAACGCUGGCGGAAUGCUUUACACAUGCAAGUCGAACGGCAGCACGGGGGCAACCCUGGUGGCGAGUGGCGAACGGGUGAGUAAUUCAUCGGAACGUGCCCAGUCGUGGGGGAUAACUACGCGAAAGCGUAGCUAAUACCGCAUACGAUCCACGGAUGAAAGCGGGGGACCGCAAGGCCUCGCGCGAUUGGAGCGGCCGAUGGCAGAUUAGGUAGUUGGUGGGGUAAAGGCCUACCAAGCCGACGAUCUGUAGCUGGUCUGAGAGGACGACCAGCCACACUGGGACUGAGACACGGCCCAGACUCCUACGGGAGGCAGCAGUGGGG